rnacentral:SRP_RNA from 1 species
GCUGGGCUUGCUGGCGGAUGCCUGUAGUCCCAGUUACUCAGGAGGCUGAGACAGGAGAAUUGCUUGAGCCCGGGAGGCGGAGGUUGCAGUGAGCCAAGAUCAUGGCACUGCAUUCCAGCCUGGGCAAUAGAGCAAGACUCUGUCUCAA